rnacentral:rRNA from 1 species
AACGAACGCUGGCGGCGCGCCUAAUACAUGCAAGUCGAGCGAGAAGGUGUAGCAAUACACUUGUAAAGCGGCGAACGGGUGAGGAAUGCAUGGGUAACCUACCCUCGAGUGGGGAAUAACUAGCCGAAAGGUUAGCUAAUACCGCAUACGUUUCCGGAACUUCGGUUUCGGAAAGAAAGCAAUACCGUGGGUAUUGCGCUCCUGGAUGGGCUCAUGUCCUAUCAGCUUGUUGGUGAGGUAACGGCUCACCAAGGCUUCGACGGGUAGCUGGUCUGAGAGGACGAUCAGCCACACUGGCACUGCGACACGGGCCAGACUCC